CCUUCGAUAGCUCAGUUGGUAGAGCGGGGGACUGUAGAUUUAUAAUUGUGAUCCCUAGGUCGCUGGUUCGAAUCCUGCUCGAAGAC
rnacentral:tRNA from 2 species